ACACGACCGUACCGCAAACCGACACUGGUGCGCGAGAUGAGUAUUCUAAGGCGCUUGAGAGAACUCAGGAGAAGGAACUCGGCAAAUUGACACCGUAACUUCGGAAGAAGGUGUGCCUUUAGUAGGUGAACCUGUACAAGGGGAGCCCAAUGAGGUUGCAAAAAAUCGGUGGCUGCGACUGUUUAAUAAAAACACAGCACUCUGCAAAGACGAAAGUCGACGUAUAGGGUGUGACGCCUGCCCGGUGCUGGAAGAUUAAAUGAUGGGGUGCAAGCUCUUGAUUGAAGUCCCAGUAAACGGCGGCCGUAACGAUAACGGUCCUAAGGUAGCGAAAUUCCUUGUCGGGUAAGUUCCGACCUGCACGAAUGGCGUAACGAUGGCCACACAGUCUCCUCCAGAGACUCAGCGAAGUUGAAAUGUUUGUGAUGAUGCAAUCUCCCCGCGGAAAGACGGAAAGACCCCAUGAACCUUUACUGCAGCUUUACAUUGGACUUUGAACAGAUCUGUGUAGGAUAGGUGGGAGGCUUUGAAGUGAGGACGCUAGUUCUCAUGGAGCCAACCUUGAAAUACCACCCUGGUGUGUUUGAGGUUCUAACCUUGGCCCGUGAUCCGGGUUGGGGACAGUGUAUGGUAGGCAGUUUGACUGGGGCGGUCUCCUCCCAAAGCGUAACGGAGGAGUUCGAAGGUACGCUAGGUACGGUCGGACAUCGUGCUAAUAGUGCAAUGGCAUAAGCGUGCUUAACUGCGAGACUGACAAGUCGAGCAGAUGCGAAAGCAGGACAUAGUGAUCCGGUGGUUCUGUAUGGAAGGGCCAUCGCUCAACGGAUAAAAGGUACUCUGGGGAUAACAGGCUGAUACCGCCCAAGAGUUCAUAUCGACGGCGGUGUUUGGCACCUCGAUGUCGGCUCAUCUCAUCCUGGGGCUGUAGCCGGUCCCAAGGGUAUGGCUGUUCGCCAUUUAAAGAGGUACGUGAGCUGGGUUUAAAACGUCGUGAGACAGUUUGGUCCCUAUCUUCCGUGGGCGCUGCAGAUUUGAGGAAGCCUGCUCCUAGUACGAGAGGACCGGAGUGGACACACCUCUGGUGUAUCGGUUGUCACGCCAGUGGCAUUGCCGAGUAGCUAUGUGCGGAAGAGAUAACCGCUGAAAGCAUCUAAGCGGGAAACUCGUUUCAAGAUGAGAUCUGCCGGGGCCUUGAGCCCCCUAAAGAGUCGUUCAAGACCAGGACGUUGAUAGGUCGGAUGUGGAAGCGCAGUAAUGCGUUAAGCUAACCGAUACUAAUUGCUCGUGCGGCUUGAUC
rnacentral:rRNA from 1 species